GAUCAUAGUAAGAUGCCAGUUCUUGCAGGGAAAGUGCUCGGAGGGAGGUGGGAGCAGUAUUCAAACAGCUACAGCUGCGCUGGCUAUCUGCCUCGUGGACCUGGACAUGUCUCACAUCCAGUUUAAUCCCGUCUGCUUUGGAGCCAUUUCACUACGGAGAAAUGUUGUUCUCGCCCCUUCCUACCUACAAGUUGGGUCUCCCCAGUUUGUUUGAUAAUAGAAUUCAUUCAGUUUGAUUUGUUCCUAUCUAAAGCCGUGCAUACGAGCUGAGAGAACCCUUGCCUUUGUGACUCUUCUCAGGAACUUGUGUCAGGACAACUAUGUAGCUCAAGGAUGUGGUAAAUCCACAUCCCUGAGUGAUGUAGUCACACCCGCCUAACCGCCAGUGUAGACAGUGCUAUGUUGACGGAAGGGCUUCCGCCUCUCGGGGAGGUGGCGUAACUACACUGCUGGGAGAAGCUCUCUCAUCAGUGCAGGUAGUGUCUUCACUAAGCACUGCAGAGGCGCAGCAGGCCUGCCGCGCUGUAAGUGUGGACAAGCCCUCAGAGUUAGCCUGUGCUGUGUUAUGUCUCCAGGCAGUGGUGGACACACACCAGGGCAUGGAUCCCAAAUGCAUCAGGCAUGGACCUUGACAGGAUGUACUGCACCCGCUCCACACCACUUUGCCAGACACACGAAUCAGGCAGGUGCGCUUCCUGAUGGGCGAUAUAUGUUAUAUCCUGCUUUGCUUCUGAGGAUCUGUUGGAGUGGGAGAACUCACCCCCAAGAUGUGCAAGACAGGAUCUGGAAUGAAACGUGACAGAGCCCAGCCUUUCCAGUUUGUAUCUGUUCACUCAGGAGAAUUUCCGCAAGUCCUGUCCAUGUGCCCCAGAAUGGGAUUUCAUUCUCAGAUUGCUAGCCCAGAUGUUCUUGCUUUCAUUUACACACUCUCAUGAGGAGGUUUUUAGGUCUAAAUUUGACCUAUGGAAUCUUAAAGUGCAAUUUCCUUUUGAAAGGUGACUCUUAAAGAUGGCCCACAGGGGCGCUGUGUUUAUUUUCUCUCCGUGACUGCCAGUCAAACGGGCUCAGUUUACAAGUAAAGGGCUGGUUAUUUGACCUGCCAGUCCUGCCACAGGGAGCAGCUCUGCUGUGCACCAUGGCCCCACUUUAACAGCCCCUUUCCAGUGCAGAGCUGCACUCGACAGUUCUUGUCUGAUGCAGGAAGGGACCCACUUUCUAACUAGAUCAAUUCUGGUUAUUUUAAAACCUGUUAGAUUUUCAGAGCGAUUAUAAUAGUUAUCUAGCAAAAGAGAUAUGCCAAACAGGACUCAGUGAUACCAGCACACAAGAGAGAUGCUUGAAACCAAAGUUGUUAAACGGCAGCUUAGCAGGGCGGCUGCUUGCCCUACAGUAGAGCAUUCCUGGCUGGAAUUAGACUGUCACCCAGGCUUUGCCAAGGUCACCGUGCUGCUCUGGGGGCCCUAAAUGCUCUUAAAUCUCCAACUUCCUUGGCUGGUGGUGAUUCACAGCUUCUCUGGGGUGUAAAAUGAAGCCAAUAGAGAUGUGCUGCCUUACGACAUUAAGCAGAUCACAAUGGCUGACUUGCACCUCCCCAGAGACACACGCAUGCCUCCCACUGUCCAGUGUAAGGGGAGUAGCAAUCAUUGGAGAGCUAGCCCUUGGAGAAACCCAGGUGGUGGGAGGCAGUUGUGGGCCAAAAGCCUAAUGGGGAGAAAUUGUCUCGAGUAAAUUGUACUUUAUUUUGCUUUAUACUCCAUUUUGCUAGCUUUGAAUUAGUACGAAGAAAUUGUAGCCUUGAAUUAAUAAGAAAAAAAUGUUCUAAGUUUAUUCUUUGCUGAUUGUGUUAAUGAUUGUUCUUAGAAGGACAGAAGUUUUAUGGCUGUAAUUAUUGCCUUACUUACUGUUUGGUAUGUGAGUGAAGAAUGUAUGGUGUACUAAUUAACGGAGAAAAGACAGCUGGGCCGGAUGGUCAAGAGGGGAGUGGAGAACUCGAGAAGCACCAACUUUAUUAUCAGAAUCACCCGGAUGGCAGAUGGAUGACCCUAAAGCAAAGGCAUACACCCCAAGAACAAGAUAAGGAGUUGAGCCAGAGGGCCGAGAUAAGAAACAGCUGCAAAUCCUCCCGGUAACAACUUAAAAUAAUGCUAAUUAAGAGCAACCUUGAAUAUCUUGUGACUAACAGCUCCAGUGUGACACAGCAAGGUCUAUAGACUUCUAUGGGAACGUAUUACUAUAAAAGAAGGGUGUAUUGCCAUAGGACUUUGGGUUCAUUCUGCAUCAACAUCGGAGCUUCGAAUGCAUUCGACAGAGAUCCAACUCCCCUCCCUCGUGUGCAGUUUCAGCUGCCCACUGGAACUGACCCAGCAACACUAAGGACUGGUAACUACAAGAUCCAGUUGCAGAAUCUUUGUGUGUGUGUGUGUGUGUGCAUGUGUGUGUGUGUGUGAAUGGAAGCAAACGCUGAUUUUAAUGCUUAAAUUGUACUCUCAAUAAAUGCGGCGUAUUGCCUUAUCUCUUUUAAAAG
rnacentral:lncRNA from 1 species